rnacentral:rRNA from 1 species
GACGAACGCUGGCGGCGUGCCUAAUCAUUGAAAUUGGAAGCUUUCUUUCCCCCCGAGUGCUGGCACUCAAUUGGAAAGGGGAUUGGCGGCCGGGGGGGUAACACGUGGGUACCCUACCAAUCAGAGGGGGAUACCACUUGAAAACAGGUCCUAAAACGGCAUAACAUUUUAGGCGGCAUGGCAUAGGAGGAAAAGGCGCUUUCGGGUGUGGCGGAUGGAGGGCCCCGCGGUGCAUUAGCAAGUUGGUGAGGUAACGGCUCACCAAGGCCACGAUGCAUAGCCGACCUGAGAGGGUGAUCGGCCACACUGGGACUGAGACACGGCCCAGACUCCUACGGGAGGCAGCAGUAGGGAAUCUUCGGCAAUGGACGGAAGUCUGACCGAGCAACGCCGCGUGAGUGAAGAAGGUUUUCGGAUCGUAAAACUCUGUUGUUAGAGAAGAACAAGGACGUUAGUAACUGAACGUCCCCUGACGGUAUCUAACCAGAAAGCCACGGCUAACUACGUGCCAGCAGCCGCAGUAA